GACCUGGUGGUACAUGGUUGUACACUCUUGGUAAUAGGCUGCCGUCUGCUGGUCUCUAGUAAAUUUCAGGGGGUUCCUGGUUCAAUUCCAGGCUAGGUCA